rnacentral:misc_RNA from 1 species
CCUUUACGGUAUCUGAGUUUGGUUGCCGAACAUCAUGCAGUGCGGGCUAGGUAUUCUGCGGGUUAUAUCCGUGCCUCCCUUGUCCAGAGGCAGCGUGGACGAUGCUCGCCGAGCGAUUGCGUCGUUGCUUGUGUUGGCUUCUUUUUGAAAGGCUUGCUCCGUCACAGUAGCAGAUCGCAUGGUCGCUACUUGUAGUGACACCAUGUUAUGUACGUUGAUCGGUUGAUAUCUUGUUCAAGGCUCCACAAUGUUGAACAACAAUCCGUCUAGCGGGAGCGUUAGAGCCAAAGAUUUCGAUUGAUGAAACGUUUGAUCUAUGUCCUCAUGCUAUACAGACUAAGGGCCGAUGUUUGGGCAGCAGACAAUAAUGCUGGCAAAUAAGUCAUGGGCAAAAUCCCAAUGCUACAGCAUCAAUAUUCAGAAGAUAAAGCACGUCUACAUUUA